rnacentral:lncRNA from 1 species
GUUCAUAAGAUCAUGAUUAACGAUAUAGGAAAAUAUCUUACACCAACACAGUUUGCACGGCUAUGCAAUGGAUGAUUCAAUUGAAGUUGCCCUGUCCAUCUAAUUGGUCCAGCACGCCAAAUCCAAAACUAUGCUUAAUCACUCAAUGACUUAUCACAUGUAUCUAUGGUUGUAAGCAUGUACUUUUAUACAGCUGAGCUCAAAACCAAACCCAAACUUCAUACCAUAUAAUCAAGCCAUAGUGAUCCCCCCGACAACAAGUUCAUUACAAUGGAUAGAAGUCUAAUACAUCAAAAGCAGAGCAGUAUAAGAAACUUAUAUGGUUCGGCUAUGACAUAACAUCAGACUACAUAUAUAUGGAUAGAGAUAGUUUGGUCUGACUGCUUUGUCGCCUGACUCUGCGUUGUAAAUACCUGUUGAUGGACAUAUCCAUUGAGUGUGCCAUAUGGACAUCAUCACAGUAAGAAUACAGUUCUUUUACUGACCCUUAUGUACAACAAGAUUUAGUCAUCCGACAGAUGAGUAACUCCUUGACCAGAGCUAAGAGCUAGUAUCAAUUUCACCUUGACCAGAUAUGCGCAAUACCAAUAUAACUGAAAAUGAAGCACAAAGAGACACCUAACUUUCAGAGGUGACAUUACCUUGUUCUGCAAACUAUAAUGGUCAGUCUAGUUUGAGAAGUGUUCAAGAUUGUUCUACAAACUCAUGCCAGCCUUCCUACUCCACAGAACUAUUAGAAAGUUUUGGGGAUCACCACAUGAAUAGUUCUCCAUGUUAAUAUGUUAUUCUCUAGGCUCAACCAAGCAUUAACUGAAAUAACAGCUGCAGAGACAAAAACAAAUUAUAAUGAGCUCCUAGUUAAAAAAAUCUGUCUCAAGUAUCUUAGCAUGAUCCAAAAUGUCUGAAUAAAAAAAAUCUCAAACUGGGAACAAGAAAAGGAUAACCUACAGCUAGAUAAUCGAUUGAAUAGAUAAACUAUGUAGUAUCAGAACUACCAUAGAAAGGGUAAAAGGAAAUGUAUAAAAUCCUAAUCAACUAAUUCACACUGUGGGCAUGCUAUGAGUGGAGGUGCAUAUACGGUAACUUCCAGGACAAAUGAGCAUAAGGGAAACAUAAUGAAAUUCAGAGACAUAUGCAAAUCAUCGAACAGAACCUUGACUUCCAGUCAAUCAAUAGAAAAUUCAUAUAUGUAUUAUAGUUAGUUGCAACCGGUCAAUAAUUAGCAACUACAGCCUCUUGUGCCCCUAAAUAAUUAACGCCACCACCACUUUAACAACCACCCACUGGAACCAGAAUUUCUCAAAAGCCUGACACUUUUAACCAGAAUUAAACCGACUAUCAGUAUAUGACUACCACAAGCGACAACGUCGCAAACACCACAAGACAAGAGCAAUAUGAGGAGUCUAUUACACAUCAUCAUCGACCCAAACUUCGAAUGAUGAUUUGCCUGAUCGACCUGCUCUGCUGCAUGUAAUGUAAGCCUCCUAUAUCCUAGCACGGCAUGUGAUAUAUGAAUUAACAUGGUAAGUGGAUAACAGAGUAAGUACAUAACCUAGAGCGGAAACCUCGUUCUCUUUAAUUUAAAAUUGGUGGUUUCUUACAUGCAAGCCCAUUCUGUAGCUCUAUAACUACAUCAAUUUAGAAAAAUCUUACACUGGAUCCGGUAGGCAUAGAAGCCUACUCGUGCUUACCAUCAUUUAGAUUAAAAAGAUGGGGAGGUUGUGCAAUUUCCUGAUGUACUAAUCAUCUAAUACAAAUAACCAAUGCAUCAAAAACCUCUUUUACGUGGACCAUAUAGAACAACAAGAGAUGGGAUAGUGACACUACAGAAUAAAUUGCCGGCAGUGGAGAUCAGUGGCAUGCCUGGAAUCCUUAGGUUGCAGGAGUAAGCGGGGUUGUCAGUUCAGCUGGUCAGGAUCUCUCCAAACCCCCGUUGAACGCCGAUGGAAACUUUAGAAGCAUUUAGGCAGUAAAGGUGACAUCCCAACACCUUUCCGUUGAUGUCUUGCCUACAAAAUCACACUCAGGCAUCACAUCAUGUAAUACAUGUUGUUAUUAAAUGUUGAAUAAAUAAACACUUGCCUUCCUUGGAAACUAAACACUAACCUAUGUAGUUGAAAAAAACUCAAAAAAAAAGAAAUGAAGAUUAUAGACAAAGUGAACUAUAUCUAUCACCAAGCAAAAUAACUGAAGUGGAGGGCUGCUUGAUAUAGCAGAGCAUCAACGACGUGUGCCUCGACCAGGAGUGGAGGGGGAGGAAGUUAGAUGAACAGAUGGAAGGGCAUGGAGAGAGGAAGCACCUAAACAUGGGAAGAGGGGCGCCACCAUGGCUAGGGUCACACCAGCGCAUUUUCACGGCAGAGCACAAAUUCAAUGACCCACACUAACUAUCAAGAACCUAAAAGCAUGCAGCAACGUGCUAUCUCAUUUACCACAACAGAAAAAUAAAAAACUCUCCAAGAUAACUAAAUCUAUUUUAACCCACAUCUCUCAUCAGAUCCAUAUAUUACAACCUCAAGACGACUGAAUCCGUUUUAGCAUUCAUCCCUCACAAGAUCCAUUGAUUCGUCAAAUAACACCAAUCAAAAGGAACACAAUUGAAACAACAACACACCUCCUGGACAGGUCCUAAUUAUCAGAUGGCAAAAACAACUCCAAGACAACAUAAUAUAUUUUAGCCCUCAGCUCUCACCAGAUCCAUAUACUACAACUCCAAGACAUCUGAAUUUAUUCUAGCUGUCAUCUCUCAGAAGAUCCAUUUAUUAUUCCAAAAGUACUAACCAAAAGAGGGGAAAAACAGUAAAGCACCUCCUAGGCAGGCCUAAUUAUUAUAUAACCUCAAGAACUCAAUUUCUCUAUUUUACAAAACCAUAUGGAUCCAAGAACUCCAUUCCUCUGUUUUAGGCUCUGGCCGUCAGCAAUUCCAUUUAUUCUUCAAAAAUAUCAAUCAAAAAGGGCACACUAAAACACUAAAGCAUUUCUAGGAAUAGUACUCAUCACACAACCCCAAGAAACUUGGCAGGCCUAACUCUUUCCUACACAACAAAGCCAUAUUUCAUUAAGAACACAGCUAGAUCCAAUGUGCAGCCGCAUAAUAAGCAAUCAACAGAACAAGACAAAUAUAAAUAUCCCAUUCCUUGGAACCUAGCUAGACCGAAAGCAGCAAAACCACCAACACUCCACCAACAAAGGAGCAGCAAUUACAGGCCCUACCAGGACCAUACAAAGAAGAAAAGACAUAAAUCUAUACCGCACCAAAAACAACCAAUGGCACCUUUGGCCUUUACCAGAGGCAAGACAAACAACAAAAGGCCCUUGCCGGCCAAACACAUGGUCAAGCCUAAAAGAGCCCUUGGCCAUGCCGCUGUAUGCCUAGCACUCUAACAGAAGAGUAC